UUAGGUGUCUAAAUGUGAAAGCUUCUAUGCCCUGGUGAUUCUGGGUUUGAUGAUUUCUUUGUCCCUGUUGUAUUUGUCAAGUUUGUGCAUAAAAUUCCUAUUCUAGAUGGGGCUCUUGCCAUGGUGAGUUACAGUGCUGCCAACUUAAUCGUAAGCUGGAUAGAUCACCGUAGUGGAGAUAAAGCUGAUAAAUUUCUUAUUCUUGCGUGCCUAUGUUACAUCAAGUCAUCAAUAAUAAUGAAAAAGAACAAUUUCAUUGGGAAAUACAGUGUGGUAAUAAGUGCUGUUGACAUAAAUUCAUCUCUUGUAUAACCUUGGUUCCACCAGGUGAGUGGAGGGCUUCCAUAAUUCUCAGCGUUGAGACAUUACUAGGAUACUGAUAAAUGUUACCUUAAUAUGUGAGUGAACACAAUAUUUGAUUAACUUCAGUCAAUAAUGAGCUCCGUGCCACUGUCUCCAUUGGAAAAAAGAAGUGCUUGAGGAUUAACACUCUGUUACUCCACUGUCCACUAUUUUCUCUCCAAACUUGCACCACUGAACAGCGCCUACUAGAAUAUGCAUCUAAGGUGUAGUUUGUGGUUUAUCAUUUGCUAAUAUGCAAUGUAUGACCUCAAAGGAUGCUCCUGACCUUUGCAAUUGAUGGCAUAUGAUUGAUGUUUUUUUUAUAGCUGGUUUGUCCAGUUCUUUGUGUUGUAGUGUUUUGUUCAAAAUUUGACAAAUAUACUUCUUAAUAACGCUUAGCUGAAGUUUCAUCAAGGUGUCUUUUUUUGGUUGAGAACUGAGAACUUGAUUUGUCAGUGUUUCCAACCAUUCUAACACUUGUAGGCUUUCAGAUCUCCAGGCUGCUUGUUAUAUUAUUUCCAAGGUGAUUCUUGGAUAUGCUAUUAAUUUAAGUUCUCUCAGUAAAAUUAUGAAUCUGCAAGGUCCAGAAAAAUAGCAGAUCCCAUAUUACCAUCAUAUGAAAACUCCAUGCUUGACACAGUAUUUUUUUUUUUUUUGUAUUUUAAAGUUCUUGAUUCUUGAAAAAGAUAAUUGUUUCCUAUGGAAUACAAUAGUAUCAAGAUGCUAGUCAUGAUACAAUUUGUUGAUAAUUUUCUUUCCAAGUCUGGACACACAUUUUUAUAUGUAGCAGCGUUCAGUUUCUGGUCGUAAUUCAUCGUACCAGUUCUGUAUUCGAUCUGUUUUCUCUCCACCUGCCUGUAUUCUUGUUCUGUUGCAUAAGUUCCUUUUACAACCUUGUACCUUCGCACAGACAAGCAACAGACCUUGUUCCCCUCCACAAAACAUGCCGAUGUGGGUUUAGGUGAUAGGGUGGUAAUGCUGUAAAAGUUAGCAAAAUUCAUCUGGGCAUUCCCUCCCAGUUUUUAGCAACAAUGACUCGUCAUCCUGAUUAUGUGGACAUAUAUGGCCACCGACUUGUUGCUAAAACUGGGAGGUAGUGACAAGGACAAUGGCAGUUGAGACAUCCAGGACAUUGCAAUGGGGAUGUCAUUACCAAGGCAGGUAACAUACUAACAGCAGGGUGACAGUUCACUCUGUUGCGGGAAGAGCGUGGCAUUGGCAGCCAUCCUGACAGUUACGGAAGCCACACGGCUGGUGGCUGAGGUGGAAUAUAGAGAUCACUGAGGGUGCUAAAGAAUCAGUUAUGAGGAAUAUAUUGCGGUAAGCUUAAUUCAAUUCUUGCUUUUUUGAGGAAUUUACUAGGAGGAAAGUUUCUAUAUGAAGGUUUGAAACAUUCAUUAAUUCAUAAAUGGUCCUGGAACAUUUAAUUCAGCAAGUGAGCAUUUAAGACAUAUACUAGAAACUGUGUAACAACUGACAUCAUGAAUAAUCACAGAGGAACCACCCAUAAGUAUUUUAUUAUAGAGUUGUUGAUCUAUCUCUUCAGUGCUCUGCAGGAGAAGAAGAUACUGAAUAAUUUACUUUUCUGUGCAAGUAGUUUUCUAGGCUAACGCUCGCAACCAGUGGCUGUCGUUUUAAGAGAACUUUAUUUAUAGCACUGUUUUGUUUGGUCUUGGCUGAAUCUACUCUUUUGCCUCUUCUCCACAAUCUAGAAUUGAGAGUUUAGACCCUUCAUGCCUCUUCUCCACAAUCUAGCAGGAGAGUUUACAACCCUUCUUCUGUAGUUUUGGUGGAUAUUUGUCAAGAAGUCAAAGUCUCAUGUGUGGUAGGAAUUUUUUCUUUCCUUAGCUUGUUUAUUUAGAGAUUUCAACUUUCUGAGGUUGUUUUCCAUUUUUCUUCCAAUUUUAUAAUUCUCUUAUUUCCAGAAAAAUCUUUAAAGGCAUAAUGCUCAUACCUUGCUGUUUGUAUGCUCAAGUGUUGGGUGGGUUUAUGUUGCCCCCUUAGGUAGCAUGAUCAUUUGGGUUUAUGUGCUUUUCCAUCGAUCAGGGAUGCUUCUUUCCUUGCUUUACUAAUUUUUCACUGUAUCAAUAAAUGUUGGGUUAAUGUUAUGAAAAAUGUUUCAGUUUUCAUCUGAUGCAGGUGCAGUGUUUUAAUGUCUGUGCAUAAUGCUUUUCUCUUCUCAAUUGCAGCUCUUCCAUAUGUGCAUCUCACAGAACUAUUUUAAAUGCAGCAUGCUCCUCGCAACCAAAUGGGAGUAAUAUAUCCUCUUAUGUUUCUUUUCCUGCUAUUGCUUCAUGGAACUAGUGCUGCUUUGAAGGAUCCAGUACAGAAAUGGCAGACUCUAAGUGGUGCCCCUCCAUUAGUCAUAGCUCGUGGUGGGUACUCUGGGCUGUUCCCUGAUUCAAGCCAAUUCGGGUACCAGUUUGCCCUGUCGAAUAGUCUGCCUGAAGUUGUUCUUUUCUGUGAUUUACAACUUUCAAGUGACAACGUUGGAUUCUGCAAGACUGGCUUGGCACUUGAUGACUCAACGCUAAUAGCUAAGGUCUUCCCUAAGAAUGACAAGACAUACAAAGUGAAUGGAGACGGCCUGCACGGAUGGUUUUCAGUCGACUUCACUUCAAAUCAGCUAAUGGACAAUGUCACAUUGAUCCAGAAUGUUCUGUCCCGCCCAAGCAUAUUUGAUGGCACCAUGGGAAUUAGCCUUAUUGAUGAUGUCGUAGAACUCCACCCUCCUCAACUUUGGAUUAAUAUACAGUAUGGACAGUUCUUCCUAGAUCACAAAUUAAAUAUCGAAGAGUACAUAUCAUCUAAAGCAAAAGAAUUUGGUGUCAAUUAUGUCUCCUCACCUGAAGUUGGAUUCUUGAAAAGCCUUAGUGGGAAGCUUGGGAAAAGCAAUGUGAAGCUUGUUUUUCGGUUUCUCGAUCAACAACUCAUUGAGCCUUCCACAAAACAACCUUAUGGAACCAUUCUGAAGGACUUAAAAUCUGUCAAGGCUUUUGCCUCAGGAAUUCUCGUCCCCAAGACUUACAUUUGGCCUGUGAACAAGGAUCAGUACUUGCAGCCAGCUACUACUUUGGUGAAAGAUGCUCAUGGCCUAGACUUGGAGGUUUAUGCAUUUAAGUUUGGCAAUGAUUUCAUUUCAAGUUACAACUACAGCUAUGAUCCUAGUGCUGAGUACUUGCAGUUUAUUGAUAGUUCUGACUUCUCUGUUGAUGGUGUCCUCACUGACUUCCCAUCCACAGCUUCAGCAGCCAUUGCUUGCUUAGCACAUACUAAGGACAGCUCUCUUCCUCCUCCUGGAAAUGAUACCAGACCACUGAUCAUCACCCACAAUGGUGCGUGUGGCUUAUUCCCUGGCUGCACCGACCUUGCAUACCAGCAAGCAGUGGAAGACGGUGCAGAUAUAAUUGACUGUUCAGUACAGAUGUCAAAGGAUGCAGUGCCCUUUUGCUUGGACUCCCCGGAUCUUACAAAAGGGACGACAGCAGCAACAGUGUUCUCGACAAAAGCUGCUACUGUAAAUGAAAUACAGAAUGGGUCUGGCAUCUUCGCAUUUGAUCUUCUAUCGAGUGAGAUCCAAACUCUAAAGCCUGAUCUUGUUGGCCCAUACAAUCAAGAAGGACUGAAAAGAAAUCCAGCAGCAAAGAACAGUGGGAAACUUAUGACUUUAGUUGAUUUCCUGGCCUUCUCAAAGAGCAACAACAUCUCUGGUGUACUAGUCGAUGUUCGUAAUGCCCCAUACCUUGCAACCAGAGGCAUUGACAUUGUGGAUGCUGUCUCCAGCGCACUUAUCAAUGCCAGCUAUGACAAAGAGACCAGGCAGCAGGUGCUCAUCGCAUCGGACGAUUCCGCCGUGCUCAGAGCAUUCAAGAAGUUCCCAGCAUUCAAGCGCGUCCUCCAGAUCGGCAACGCAAUCAGCGAUGUGUCCAAGGCAUCCGUGGAGGAGAUGGCCAAGUUCGCGAGCGCUGUGUCCAUCACUCGGGGCUCAGUUGUCCAGGCGCAGGGAUCAUUCCUCUUGCGGUUCACUGAUGUGAUCGACAAGAUGCAUGCCGCAAACCUAUCGGUGUAUGUCGGGCUGCUCAGGAACGAGUUCAUGAACCUUGGGUUCGACUUCUGGGCUAACCCAAUGGUUGAGAUCGUGACGUACUCAUCUCUGAUGGCUGAUGGGAUUGUGACCGAAUUCCCUGCAACGGCAGCAGAGUACUUCAGGAGCCCAUGCAGUGACUUCAGUAAGAACCUGACCUACACGAUCAUGCCUGCAAAGCCUGGGUCUUUGCUCAAACUGACAGACCCCAGUGCACUGCCUCCGGCGCAGGGGCCAGCGCCAGUGCUGAAACCUGCCGAUGUUGUGGACCCACCGCUGCCACCAGUGACCAUCAGUACCCCUGGAGCUUCAGCAUCUUCGAAUGGUUCCAGCACUACCAGUGGUGCAAGGGUGUCCACUGCAAGCUCUGGUCUUUGCUUGUUGGCAAUCGGACUUUCUGUGUUAUUGGUAACGAGCUCUAAGUAAUCUGAAGCCUGGGUGCUGGAACUGCAUGCGGUUUGUUCAGCAUUUUGACCCUUCCCAUCAGGGCUGAUUUAUACAGCAAGAAAAUGUACUUUAAGCAGGGUGAAUUAACAGUAGCGGUGCAACUUGCCUGUAUGUUCUGGUCCUAGGAUGUAAUGUGUGGCGCCAGGGGGUGCCUUCUGUACAUAAACUUCUUUACCAUUACUUAAUUGAGCAGCAGAGCUCCUACCUUUUAUUUCAAAAAAAAAAGUUCCCAUUUCACCCCGUUGUUUGUCAUCCGUUAUUUACAGUAGUGUCUUUGGGCACUUCUAGACUAUGAUUUCUUUUAAAUUUUAGGGCACUUGGCUGCAACAUGAAGUAAUUUGACAGGCAUGUCAUUUGAGAAUAUGACAAUUAUAGUUCAGCAUUAUGCUAUCCUUACUGAAGCAGUACACUUGGAGCUGACCAUUUCUGUCGCAUUACGUGUGACAUGUUCGUGUGAGAGCACUUGAAAGGCGGACUUUCUUUGUGAAAAACUUAUCAAAGGCCAAUCUGUAAUGUUGGCUACAUCCUGCACAAGGAUGUUGCUCUUCGGCAAUUAUUGCAGCCAUUGGCUCUUCCUGCAGGAGGAAAUGGCAUUGCUAACAUAUUGAGAUGAUACUUUCUGCUUGCACUUCUUGCAUAUUGUUAACAAAUUUACUAUUCUUCAUAUGGCUAUAACAGUAUUCUAUAAACUACUGAAGUACUUUUUCUUACUUUU